GAUGAACGCUGGCGGCGUGCCUAAUACAUGCAAGUCGAGCGAACGGACGAGAAGCUUGCUUCUCUGAUGUUAGCGGCGGACGGGUGAGUAACACGUGGAUAACCUACCUAUAAGACUGGGAUAACUUCGGGAAACCGGAGCUAAUACCGGAUGAUAUUUUGAACCGCAUGGUUCAAAAGUGAAAGACGGUCUUGCUGUCACUUAUAGAUGGAUCCGCGCUGCAUUAGCUAGUUGGUAAGGUAACGGCUUACCAAGGCAACGAUGCAUAGCCGACCUGAGAGGGUGAUCGGCCACACUGGAACUGAGACACGGUCCAGACUCCUACGGGAGGCAGCAGUAGGGAAUCUUCCGCAAUGGGCGAAAGCCUGACGGAGCAACGCCGCGUGAGUGAUGAAGGCCUUCGGAUCGUAAAACUCUGUUAUUAGGGAAGAACAUAUGUGUAAGUAACUGUGCACAUCUUGACGGUACCUAAUCAGAAAGCCACGGCUAACUACGU
rnacentral:rRNA from 1 species